rnacentral:lncRNA from 1 species
GCUGAGUCAGGCAGCAUCUAGGAACUGGAAACUGUUGGAUGGCACUAGAGCCAUGAGUCAGCCCCCUUGGAGAUAGCCUCACUGCAGGAUGGACACACAAGCCAAGCACUUACAGAUGACCUUUCCUCGCCUUCAGCCAUGAUGUUGGCCUUCAGGAAGUGAGACAGCAUCAACCUUCUGCCUGUCCUUGUAGCCAGAACAUCUGGUUUGAGACACUGGAGAACUUGUCUGAUUCAGGAGAAACUAGGGGAUUUCUCUGCAGGCAAGCGGAUUACAGCGUCCUGAGGCUGUCCCUGACUUUGAAAUCCACAGAAGUUUCAGCCCUGGCUCAGUUGUUCAUUUGCUACAGGACAAAGUCAAUUUGCACCCCUGAACUUCAGAUUCUUCAUGUGUAAAAUAGAAUAUUAAUACCUUCUGUGGAGGGUUAUGAAGCAUCACCCACAAGCUUCCAUUAUGGACCCUGAAGUGAGAUGACCAGUAGAUAUGGAACCUGGCCCUCUCCUCCUACUUGCCAGCUGGGAAAUUUGAGGGAAGACACUUCAAAUCUCCGUGGCUCAGUUUUGUCCCCCUCAGUGUGGAUCUGUAGUGGAUGUUAUGGGGCUAGGCCCAUACUCUCCCUACACCAUGCCCAUGCAGGCCGAUUCAAUGGCUUCUGACUGUAACCGUGAGUACCUACGAUUCUUUGCCUGAGGGAUUUAUUUGGCCUGCAUGUGGGACCUGCUAGAAAUUGACUCCUGGAGGAGCCCUGCACUGUGAUUGACUGGAGUUGGGGCCUGAUCACCCCAACUUCCUUGCCAUUUGAUUUCCCUCCAUGGAUUACAGUUGACCGUUGAACAACAUGGAGUUGAACUGCAUGAGGCUGCUCGUAUUUUCUUCUGCCUCUGCCACCCCUGAGACAGCAAGAUCAAUCCUUCCUCCUCCUCCUCCUCCUCAGCCGACUCAAAGACCAUGAGGAUGAAGACCUAUACGAUGAUCCACUUCCAUUUAAUGAAUCAUAAAUAUAUUUUCUCUUCCUUAUAGUUUUCUUAAUAACAUUUUCCUUUCUCUAUCUUUCUUUACGGUAAGAAUAAAUAAUAUAAUUUU